rnacentral:rRNA from 1 species
AGAGCGAACGCUGGCGGCAGGCCUAACACAUGCAAGUCGAGCGGCCGUAGCAAUACGGCAGCGGCAGACGGGAGAGUAACACGUGGGAACGCGCCCUUCGGUUCGGAAUAACUCAGGGAAACUUGGGCUAAUACCGGAUACGCCCUUACGGGGAAAGAUUUAUUGCCGAAGGAACGGCCCGCGUCCGAUUAGCUUGUUGGUGAGGUAACGGCUCACCAAGGCGACGAUCGGUAGCUGGUCUGAGAGGAUGACCAGCCUCACUGGGACUGAGACACGGCCCAGACUCCUACGGGAGGCAGCAGUGGGGAAUAUUGGACAAUGGGCGCAAGCCUGAUCCAGCCAUGCCGCGUGGGUGAUGAAGGCCCUAGGGUUGUAAAGCCCUUUCGGCGGGGAAGAUAAUGACGGUACCCGCGAGAAGAAGCCCCGGCUAACUUCGUGCCAGCAGCCGC